rnacentral:snoRNA from 12 species
AAUAAGUGAUGACAAAAUGUUUCGGUCCCAAAUGAUGUCCAGUGAUAAAACUUAAACAUUUUUCUGAUGUU